rnacentral:lncRNA from 1 species
UCCCUUUUGUAAUAGCCUAAACUCCAACAUAUAUUUUAUACAAACGCAUGCAGAAAAUAUGGCAAUAAAACAAAAACAGGGUGUCACACAUAUCUCUCAACAUUCAAUCUUUAAUUCAAAAUAUGGAAUUAAAUUCGAAACAACAUAACAUCAUUAUUCAAUUAAGAAACUUAGAAAAUGACCUCAUUCAUAAUAUAGAGUAUUCAAUGAAAUAAGGAAUUCCCAACCCUGUGUUACACUAUCAGAUUGACACCAUGGAAAACUAAAUAGUCGAUAAGGUAUGACGAAUAAAACAAGAAAAUAAAGCAGUGAGUAGGCAAAUUAUGCCACCCCCCAAAAUAAGUAACGUCUAAAUCUCCUCAGUCUCCACCUGAGUAUCUGCAUAGUAUCCAUGGGAAACAACAUGGAAACCGAAAAGGGGUGAGAAAUACAUUCCAUAUAUAAACGGUGCAUAAAAAACAAGGAUAGUGUAAUCAAUAUAACUACCCAAUCACAAUCACAUCUCGAAUAACAACAACAAUCGAUUAACAUAUGAAAUUAUGUAUGCAAUGUCAAUCUCUUAUACUCCAAUGCAUGUGGUAGAAAUCUCUAGGAUAUUCCUAGGUAUAUUUCUAAGGUAUCCCAACUCGUUACUUGGAUCAAAGUCCUACUCGUCACUAGACUAGAGUCUUACUCAUCACUGAACCGGAGUCCUACCUAGCUUCAAUAUACAUGAUGCAUGAAUGCUACAAGAAAAUAUGCAAUUCUCAUCCAAAAACCCAACUCUUACAUUUGCCAAUCGUUCCUUUCGGACCUAAAAUAUAUCAUCAACAAUGAUUAUCGUUUUAUGGCCAUGUCACUGGUUCCAUCGAACCUAAUUGUCUCACAUCAAUAGUUCCUUCUCAUGAGGUAUUCAUCAUUGAACUCAACAUAGGAACUCAAUAACAUUUUUCUCAUCAAUCAAUAUCAAAUAACUCAUAAAAAUGAAAAUAAAAUUAAAAAACUACUUGGAAAAUUGAGUCAAAUAUCUCAAUAUGGUCAAACAAUAGGGAUGGCGAUCGGACCGUAUCGACCAUCAUAUUUGUCACCCUCAGGGUGAGUAACACGUUAAUCACUGAUGGUUUGGGGGUCAUGUUCUCAUUAUGGGGCCCUAACAGUUGGACCGUCACUUGGCUGACGCCCGUCACCGCUAACGAUUUGGCGUCUUCUUCCUCGAUGCGGUGAUAGUUGGCCUAUCAUGCUGAUAAUGCCCAUCACUGUUGUGUACAAUGCGAUUUCUGCAUUUUCACCAUUGAAUCGCUUUAGAUUUCAAUCUCUUCAAUCGGUUUUUUACAAAUGAAACAUCUUGCACUCGAUUUUCACAUUAUAACAACAAAUUGUAUAACCAAAACAUUAAUUUAACUUUUAUCACAUCUACUCAUCAUGAUUUAUUCAUAAAAAUAUAGCAUCUCAUAAGAACACAAACAUAAGUUUUUUAUAGCAUAAACCCAUACUAAUUUCACAUAACAAUAGAAAAAUUAGCAACAUCAUUAGAUCAUAACUCAAAAUUAUAUAGCAAUAAUCCAGAGAGAUUUUGCAUAAACCACCUCAAGAUUCAAGUUCCACGUCAAUGGAAGAAAAAGGGAAAGGAUGGGGCUUAAGGAAUCCCUACUAUCCCAUAUGCUUAGACACCAAUGUAUUGAACAAUCCACCCUUACCUUGAUUAUUCAUAAAAGUUUGAAGCUUUAUCGACUUUGGUUAUGGAGGCUCUUCUUCUUCACUUUCUAUGUUAGGGUUUGCUCUCUCCACUUCUUAGUCUCUAUUCCACAAAUUCCACGUGAUAUCACUUUUCCUUCUAUUUAAAUAAAAACCCGUUUUUUUUAAUUUUAAUAAUUUCACUAAUGUCCCCAUUUCUCACUAAUUCUACUCAACUCCCUAUAUUAAUUAAAUUCUAGUUUAUUGCCCCAAAACCACACUUUCUCACAUUCUCCAAUAAUUUGAAUAUUAAACUAUAACUAAAUUCUCCCAAUCUUCUUUAACUUAAAUAAUAAUAAUUAAUUAAAUAAAAUACACCCCAAAAGCUCAAAUAAAAAUUUAAAAUACUAGAAUAAAAAUCGCGGUGUUACACCUUUGGUGUAUUUACUUAC